AAUAUUGCGCAAUGGAGGGAACUCUGACGCAGCGACGCCGCGUGAGCGAUGAAGGUUUUCGGAUCGUAAAGCUCUGUCCUUGGGGAAGAAGAUCUUAGGAUUUGACGGUACUCGAGGAGGAAGCCCCGGCUAACUACGUGCACGCCGCCGCGGUAAUACGUAGGGGGCAAGCGUUGUCCGGAAAUAUUGGGCGUAAAGGGUUCGUAGGCGGUCUUUUAAGUCAGAUGUGAAAGACCACGGCUUAACCGUGGGGUUGCAUUUGAAACUGGAGGGCUUGAGUAUCGGAGAGGGUAGUGGAAUUCCCAGUGUAGCGGUGGAAUGCGUAGAUAUUGGGAGGAACACCAGUGGCGAAGGCGACUACCUGGACGAAAACUGACGCUGAGGCACGAAAGCUAGGGGAGCAAAC
rnacentral:rRNA from 1 species